GAAGAAGCGAAAGUGACGGUACCUGAAGAAAAAGCACCGGCUAACUACGUGCCAGCAGCCGCGGUAAUACGUAGGGUGCAAGCGUUGUCCGGAAUUAUUGGGCGUAAAGAGCUCGUAGGCGGUUUGUCGCGUCUGCUGUGAAAACGCGAGGCUCAACCUCGCGCCUGCAGUGGGUACGGGCAGACUAGAGUGCGGUAGGGGAGAUUGGAAUUCCUGGUGUAGCGGUGGAAUGCGCAGAUAUCAGGAGGAACACCGAUGGCGAAGGCAGAUCUCUGGGCCGUAACUGACGCUGAGGAGCGAAAGCGUGGGGAGCGAACAGGAUUAGAUACCCUGGUAGUCCACGCCGUAAACGUUGGGAACUAGAUGUGGGGUCCAUUCCACGGAUUCCGUGUCGCAGCUAACGCAUUAAGUUCCCCGCCUGGGGAGUACGGCCGUAAGGCUAAAACUCAAAGGAAUUGACGGGGGCCCGCACAAGCGGCGGAGCAUGCGGAUUAAUUCGAUGCAACGCGAAGAACCUUACCAAGGCUUGACAUACACCGGAAACGGCCAGAAAUGGUCGCCCCGCAAGGUCGGUGUACAGGUGGUGCAUGGUUGUCGUCAGCUCGUGUCGUGAGAUGUUG
rnacentral:rRNA from 1 species